AAACGCCCGGGGAUUACAAGCGCAAGCUUAAAACCCAAAGGAUUUGACGGUGUCCCACCCACCUAGAGGAGCCUGUUCUAUAAUCGAUAAUCCACGAUACACCUCACCAUUUUUUGCUCUUCCCAGCCUGUAUACCUCCGUCGACAGCUUACCGUUUGAAUGCCACAAAGUAGGUAUAAUGAACCACACCUCCAGCACGUCAGGUCAAGGUGCAGCCUAUAAAAUGGAAAGCAAUGGGCUACAAUUUCUAAAAUAGAACAAACGAAAAACUACAUGAAACAUAGUCAUGAAGGCGGAUUUAGUAGUAAAAGAGAGACAAUAUACUUCUUUUAAUAAGGCUCUGGGACGUGUACAAACCGCCCGUCACCCUCUUCAAUAAUACUUUUAGCUUAAUAACAUUUAAUUAAUAAUACAGAAGAGGCAAGUCGUAACAUGGUAAGUGUACUGGAAAGUGCACUUGGUUAAACAAAGUGUAGCUUAACUAAAGCCUUUCGCUUACACCGAAAAAAUAUCUGUUGAACCCAGAUCACUUUGAAGCCCUAAACCUAGCCUAUGUUCCCCCCCCAUGAUAGUUAUUAUCAAUUUGAUAUAAAACAAAACAUUUUAACGGUUUAGUAAAGGAGAU
rnacentral:rRNA from 1 species